GAUGAACGCUAGCGGCAGGCCUAAUACAUGCAAGUCGGACGGGAUUCAGGAGCUUGCUUCUGAUGAGAGUGGCGCACGGGUGCGUAACACGUAUGUAACCUACCUUUAUCAGGGGGAUAGCCUCUCGAAAGAGAGAUUAAGCCCGCAUAAAAUCACAGCACAGCAUUGUGUAAUGAUCAAAUAUUUAUAGGAUAAAGAUGGGCAUGCGGAACAUUAGCUAGAUGGCGGGGUAACGGCCCACCAUGGCGACGAUGUUUAGGGGAUCUGAGAGGAUGGCCCCCCACACUGGUACUGAGACACGGACCAGACUCCUACGGGAGGCAGCAGUAAGGAAUAGUGGUCAAUGGGCGGAAGCCUGAACCAGCCAUGCCGCGUGCAGGAAGACGGCCCUACGGGUUGUAAACUGCUUUUAUACGGGAAUAAACCCAGAUACGUGUAUCUGGCUGAAUGUACUGUAAGAAUAAGGAUCGGCUAACUCCGU
rnacentral:rRNA from 1 species